GCUCAGAUGAUGCUAAAACUACCAAGUUAUUCCUGAGAUUUCCCUUUGAGGAUUACAAAAUCGAGCCUUUUAAAGCUGAUGGGUA
rnacentral:snoRNA from 1 species